CAACACAUAGAAUGCCCACCCCAUGUCACACCCUGACCUAACCAAACAGAGAAAAACGACUCUCACAGGUCAGGGCGUGACAGAUACCCGUACAAUAUGAAACCAAAUAGACCAAUAAACCUGCAGGGCAGGUCAUUCAAGACAUACGAGACAGAAGGAAAGAGAGACAGGAAUAGUCUGCGUGCAUUUUGAGCUUGGUUUGGAUUUACUUUUCUUCUGGAUUAAAUCGUUUAUUCUGACUAAGAGGGAUAACAAUCUACAGUAUAGAGGUAGGACCGUUGUAGAGGUCAAGAUUCCAGGUGAAGUUGUUGGUUGAGAGAAUGCCGAGAGUGUGCAAAGCUGCCAUCAAGGCAAAAGGUCAACUGAUAUGAACCAGAAGCCAGACAUGGAGUCUUCCUCAAUGAAGAAGUCAUCCUGCAAUUCUGAGGAUCUUAAGGAGAUAUAUUCCCUCAAAAUGAGUCUGUCUGAAGAUGAUGCAGAUAUUCCAGAGAGGGAAACUGAAAGCGGCAACCUUGAGAGACCUGCGUCUCCAGUAUCCAGUGUGCUGUCAAUGGAGAGUGAUGUCUUCUCCAAUCACGUCACUGAUAAGGACAUUCUUGAUUCAAGUACACAGCAGGAGAGACCAACAUCACCAGACCGUCUGUCAUUGAAAAGUGAAAGUUCAAUGUUCCGACCAGAAAACUUCACAGGGCUGUUUCCUCAUGAUUCAAGCGGCAACCUUGAGAGACCUGUGUCUCCAGUAUCCAGUGUGCUGUCAAUGGAGAGUGAUGUCUUCUCCAAUGACGUCACUGAUAAGGACAUUCUUGAUUCAAGUACACAGCAGGAGAGACCAACAUCACCAGACCGUCUGUCAUUGAAAAGUGAAAGUUCAAUGUUCCGACCAGAAAACUUCACAGGGCUGUUUCCUCAUGAUUCAAGCCUCCAGAAGACAAUCAAUUUGAGAAGACACACAAAAUUCCAAUCCAGCGGCAACCUUGAGAGACCUGCGUCUCCAGUAUCCAGUGUGCUGUCAAUGGAGAGUGAUGUCUUCUCCAAUGACGUCACUGAUAAGGACAUUCUUGAUUCAAGUACACAGCAGGAGAGACCAACAUCACCAGACCGUCUGUCAUUGAAAAGUGAAAGUUCAAUGUUCCGACCAGAAAACUUCACAGGGCUGUUUCCUCAUGAUUCAAGCCUCCAGAAGACAAUCAAUUUGAGAAGACACACAAAAUUCCAAUCCAGGCACUCAAAAGCCCGUUAGAGAAGUUGACAGAGGAUGAGUGGGAGCAGUUCAUGACCCAUCUGAACAAGAAAUACCCUUCAAUCUUCACAGGCGAUCUGUACAAUCAGAGUGCCCUUGAAGUUGUCAAAAACAUACUUGUGAGCCUCAAAGAGGGGGCUUUCAGGGCCACUGUGAACAUCCUGAAGAACAUGGAUCAGAAUGAACUUGCUGAUUCACUGCAGAGAGACGAGGGAGGUAUGAAUUCUGUCUUUUUGGUUUGAUUCAAUUACGAGGUCAUUUCACUUACUUGAUUAUACCUUGCACUCAUAUUCUUUAAUAUUGGUGCCAUAUUUAGCCAAUAAAUAGUGGUAAAUAGUAUUUAUUUACUUCAUUAAAAAUAUAGAGUAUGUUGUUACCAGUCCACAUGUUACAGAGUGCUAUAUUUGUUUAAUAUACGAAAAUACAUUUUGUCUUCCAGUCUGUCAGUUCUGUGAGAAGCUACAGCACCAACUAAAACAACAAACAUAUUUCCUCCCCACUAUCACUCAGGGAGAGAAAGUUCAACUGCAAUAUAUGUACACAGACACCUUAAUGGAACUGCUUAGUGA